AACUCGAGAAAGAUCUUGACACUCUUCCCCUUUUCUCUGAGUACACAAAAAAAGAGACAACUUUCUAAAAAUACAGACUCUACUGUGUCAAUGCCGGAAUCUAGCUCAAGCUUCUCGUCUCUCUUUCUUCUACUCAUCAUCUUCUUCCUCCUUUUACUCUCUCCAUCGCUUUCUUCUCCCGAAUCUGAAGUUCAUGUUUUGGAUCGUGAGCUGUUAGAGAUCCAGACGAAUCCGAAGCCGGGCAAGACUAAUAGGAAACUCAAGUGCUGCGAGAUGCGGAGCAGAUCUCAGUGUUCGGCUUUCCCUAGAUGCAGGUGGUGUCGUAGUGAAGCUCUUGAUGACUUGUGCUUCAGUAAAGCUGAAGCCUUGCGACUUCCAAGUCAAGUCUUCCUUUGUGAAUUAUGAAUUAACAGGUUUGAUCUUAAAUAGCUUGUUGUAGUUCUUGCGGAGUUUCGAUGGAGAUAGAGAGAAAGUUGUUUUCUUUCUAAUUUUUUUGGCUUGUAUUGAAUCGCUUGUUCCGUUUUGUAAUCUCUGUUUGGUGUUAUUGUUGUAAUUGUUUUUGAGUGUCACAAGUUUUGAAUUGUACUGGAUCUUUUUGCUCAUAUCUAUUGAAAGGUGCUUCAUUUUGUGUUUCUUUCUUGUUAUGUUUUGAUUUUGAGCUAUUCACUUUAGCUACCAUGCUCUCAAAUGAAUCGAUCAUACUGUAUGAUUCUUGACUUGCAACAUUGUUAGAGAAAUGGAAAUAAGUGUUGUUGAUAUCUAGAAUUUUCAAUUGAGCUGAAUAUAUCAAGUACUUUACUUCUCUAAUUUUUGUGUGAGUAGAAGACUAAAGUAAUGUUGGUGUUUCAUAUAGAUAUAAACACAGUGUUUUUAGAUUGUAAACGACAAAAGAACCGCAAAGAAACCAUCAAGCCUUCAGUGGAGUCAAUAGUAUUUGUGUUUAAAAUGCAGCUUUUUAGUAUCAAGUGGUUCACUGAUUGGUACCUUGGUAUGUGUUCGUAUUAGAAAUGUUAUGGCUUGUCUGGUUUAGUGGAUUUAUAUUUGUGUUUUAGAAUUGUUCUACCCGUCACUGCCGGUUUUGGAAGUUAGGAGCUGCUAAGGCCAGAAUGAGCAAAGAUCUACUUAAAGGCGUCUUUUAGUGAAAAGCUUAUGAUCUAGGUAUAUGCAACAUUGAAGAAGGAUGCAUCCCUUUUCAACGCAAAAAACGGAUUACUAUAUGUAUAAUCAUCUUUCCCUUAUCCCCCUAAAAAACGUCGAAGAAAAGGAAAAACAGAUCUGGAAAUAAAGACAUAUGCACAUUAAGCCAGCUAGUUUGCGAGCAAAUCCGUGACUGCAUCCCUCAUAUCUUCAUAUGCGUAACAGCUUUCGAGAAACUCCACAAGAUUCAACAGUUCUUGAUCUUUCAGGUCAUCCACAAAAGCCUUUAUAGGCACUCCAUUCUCUGGCUGUAAUGAGUAAGAAGAUGGAUUGUCAUCGACAAUCAAAGCACUUCUGAGGUCUUUCCCCACUACCAAAGAUAAGUCCUUUACAUAUUUCCCGUUCACCUCCGUGCAUGAGUCUCGAUAUAGCCGCUGUGAGAUCACACCGUUCUUGUCUAGCUUGUCCAAAACCUGUGAAGCAUAUUCUUCCAGACCAGCUGUGAAAACUACCACUUUGUAGUUUUCACCAAGUCUUUCCAAGAAUUCAGUCACACCAGGACGUUUCACCACAAAGAUUGGCAUUAUCUCCCUUUCCAUUUUCACCAUCACCAUGAAAUCAUGUUUAACUCCCGGAAGAUGUGUUGUUGCGUGAACCAACGUUUCAUCAAGAUCGAGGAUGAUUGUCCUUUUCAUGUUGGUAUAUCCUGUCAGAGGGUCCUCGAGUUUCUCAAAUUUUGUAUAGCCAUGUUUUGUGGCUGGAUAGCUGAUGGUGAUGCCCGUGAAGCACCUGGAAACACAACGCAGAAGGCGACAAUGAAACUUCAAGAUGGACAUUAAUGGGUAAUUUUUCUGUUGGUGUUUGUGGAACUUGGAAUUUUCUGGGGUUUUUUCGAUGAUUCUUUCAGAUGCCAUUGAUUUCUCACGGUUGCUUGGUUCCCCAAUGAAGAAAACAAGUUUUGGUGAACAAAAUAGGCUUGCAGCUCUUCAGACGAAAGGCUUGGUAGU
rnacentral:lncRNA from 1 species